CUAUGUAUGGAAUGGAUAAGCGCUGAAAGCAUCUAAGCGCGAAGCCAACUUCAAGAUAAGAUUUCCCACCGCAAGGGUAAGACCCCAGAAAGACUAUCUGGUUGAUAGGUCGAAGGUGUAAGUGCAGCAAUGUAUUUAGCUUAUCGAUACUAAUAGGUCGAGGACUUGACCAA
rnacentral:rRNA from 1 species